AACGAACGCUGGCGGCAGGCCUAACACAUGCAAGUCGAGCGGACCUUUCGGGGUCAGCGGCGGACGGGUGAGUAACGCGUGGGAAUAUGCCCUUCUCUACGGAAUAGUCCUGGGAAACUGGGGGUAAUACCGUAUACGCUCUUUGGGGGAAAGAUUUAUCGGGGAAGGAUUAGCCCGCGUUGGAUUAGGUAGUUGGUGGGGUAAUGGCCUACCAAGCCGACGAUCCAUAGCUGGUUGGAGAGGAUGAUCAGCCACACUGGGACUGAGACACGGCCCAGACUCCUACGGGAGGCAGCAGUGGGGAAUCUUAGACAAUGGGGGCAACCCUGAUCUAGCCAUGACGCGUGAGUGAUGAAGGCCUUAGGGUUGUAAAGCUCUUUCAGCUGGGAAGAUAAUGACGGUACCAGCAGAAGAAGCCCCGGCUAACUCCGUG
rnacentral:rRNA from 1 species